AGCGAACGCUGGCGGCAGGCCUAACACAUGCAAGUCGAACGGAUCCUUCGGGAUUAGUGGCGGGCGGGUGAGUAACACGUGGGAACGUGCCCUUUGGUUCGGAACAACUCAGGGAAACUUGAGCUAAUACCGGAUGUGCCCUUCGGGGGAAAGAUUUAUCGCCAUUGGAGCGGCCCGCGUCUGAUUAGCUAGUUGGUGAGGUAACGGCCCACCAAGGCGACGAUCAGUAGCUGGUCUGAGAGGAUGAUCAGCCACACUGGGACUGAGACACGGCCCAGACUCCUACGGGAGGCAGCAGUGGGGAAUCUUGCGCAAUGGGCGAAAGCCUGACGCAGCCAUGCCGCGUGAAUGAUGAAGGUCUUAGGAUUGUAAAAUUCUUUCAGCGGGGACGAUAAUGACGGUACCCGCAGAAGAAGCUCCGGCUAACUUCGUG
rnacentral:rRNA from 1 species